rnacentral:sRNA from 1 species
GUUUUCUUCACUCUGAUUAUUCUGUCUCAUUUGAGAUCUCAACAUUUUCAGUCAAGGGAAAAGCAGUCAUUCAGACCAUGAAGUCGACGCUGUGGUGUUUACUGAAGAGACCUUUGAGUAUAGUGUUUGGUCCCUGCUAUAGAAAGGACAAGAAGCUGUGAAGCACCUGAAAAGUUUCAAUUUCAGAAUAAAAUAAUACUGCAGUGGCAACAUGACCAGCUGCUUCAUCCUCCUGCAGCCAGGUGCUCUACACUAGGAUAAACCGUAUCCCUCUUGAACCGUGAGUCCAA